CGGUCCUGAGGGGGCCUGGUCACUGUGGGACAAGCUCAGGGUCGCCCAGCCUGCAAAUGCCUCAAGGUCCCCUGAGCCUGUCUUGGCCGCAGUGACUGUGGUGAAGACUGACCUCCUCUAUCCAGCUCUGUAUCAUGUUGGAGUGGCCCCGUGACACUAUGGGCUGUCCCCUCCCUACACACACAGAGCCAGGGGCUGCCGUUCUGAGCCCAAGAUUCCUCAAAAUGGACCUUCUUUCUUUCUUUCUUUCUUGUAUCCAGGGCCUUUGCACCAAAUUACACCCCCAGCCCUUUUUAUUUUUCAUUUUGAGUAUAGUUCCAAGUCACUAAGUUCCCCAGGCUGGCCUCAAACUGGCAAUCCUCCUGCCUCAGCCUCCCAGGCUGCUAAGAUCACAGCCCUGUGCCACCUUGACCAACUUUCAUAUUCCCUACCCUGUCCCCUUUGCACCUAGGUCCUCUGCUUUUGCGGAGCCCAGGAACUUUCCUGUGUGGCCACCUGCUGAUGUCUCUGUCACCAUCAGCACCAACCCAGUUCCCACUGAGAAGCAGAGUUGGACCCUGGUGCACCUUGGCGGCCUGCUACCGUUUGUUCCCUGCCCCAGGAUGCCAGGCCACAUUUCUAGUUAGCACUUACUGGGCUUGAAGUUUUUUGUUGUUUGGUUUUUGUUUGUGACAAGUUCUCGCUGUGUAGCUCCGGAUGGCCUCAGACUCACCCAGGCUGGCCUUGAACUUAUGGUAAUUCUCCUGCCUCAGCCUCCUAAGUGCUGGGAUUACAGGCCCAGCAUAAUGAAGGUUAUUUUGUUUUUGUUUUUGGUGCUACUGGGAAUGGAAACCUCGGCCUUGAACAUGAUAAGAAAGCUCUGUGCCCCUGAGCUCCACCCACAGCCAUCUGUGCUGGAACUUUAGACAAAAGCGAAUAGCUUUAGUGGGCUUUAAAAAAAUGUGCAUACUUUUAAAAUUUAAAUAAUACAGGAAAUGUAAAGAAGAAAAUGCUUCAUUCAGAGAAAUGCGCUGUUGAUGUUUGGAGGAUGUCCUCACUGGAGUCUCAGGACACAUGCUGACACAGGGGACCUGCCACCUCCAGAAAGGGGACCCUGACCAAUGGCUCCUCCCCUGUGUGUCUGCAGGAGACAGACAGCAGCCUGCCGGGCUUAGCCGCUGGGUUAGGAUCCAGUCCUCCUGCUUCUUCAUAGAUGUUUAGAUCAUUUCCAAUUUCUUUUGUCUUAAUAUCUGUUUGGACAGAAUAUCUGUUUAUAUCACUCUUUGCCUCUUGUCUUGUUUUCUCCCAUCUGGAAUUGUUUGGCUCAUUUGAACCUGAGAUAUAUGUCCCCAAAGUACCCACAGAAAGACUGGGAAUCAACCGUAACCAUCAAGGUAUGUCUGGCUGAAGCAUAUCUGUGCGCCUAGCCAUGGCCAAGCACUCUAGACUAGUAACUAGUUUAACCUUCACAAACCCAGGAGGUGGGUGUUGUCAGUGCCCAUUUUACAGAUGAGGAAAGGUGAGACCCAGAGUUUAUGCUGGAGGUCCCAAGUAGGAAAGGGCAACUCACCACAUGGGGAGAAAGGUUUCUGACAUUUUGUUAACCUAAUGAUGGGGGGAGGGUACAAAAACAAAACAAACAAACAACAACAAAAAAAACCACUGCUGCUCCAAGACACUGUAAUUUAGCUUCUUACUUUUGCAGUGCUGGAGCUGAACCUGGAACCCAGGGCCCCACUCCUGCUCAGCAAGUGUUCUGCCACUGAGCUAUACCUCCAGCCCUUUACUGUCAAGUUUGAGGUUGAUUCUAAGAGUUUACCAGCCAGUAGCUUUCAUUCAUCAAUAAAUUACUUUUCACAUCUUUUUCGCAGGUUUUUGACCAGGCAUUUGAGGCUCUCCAGGUUUUGAGGCUGGCUUUCCAUGUUGGUGCGUCGGGCCUUGCCUUCAGAAGUGAGGCCCUCCUGGCUCCCCCGCAGGGUACCGGGUGGGCUUCAGCAGCCAGGGACACCUCUGCGUCCCACAGAGGGUUUGGGAGGCUCCCUGCGCUCGGCAGGGGUCCAACCCGGUUAUCCUGACUCUUCCCUGCCAUCUGCUCCCUCAGCCAGAAAUCCCUCUGCACAAAUUUGUGGACUGAGCCUCUCUUCACAGGUUCUCAUCAUGACUCAGAGUCCAUAGCCUUCUUUGAGGAGAAUGUCAAGAGCUACCUUUGACAGUCUCGAUGAAUGAGAGACCUCCGUGUGACAGGGCCUGCCGGGGCGUCAGGCAGCCAGCCCUUGUGUGUGACCUUCAGCCGGUGUCCACCCUGUCUCCCUCCUUUCUCCCAGAGGGAGGGGCUGGGGCAGGGCCUGUGCUGACUGAAAUCGACUUCAGAGAGUACCACGCCCCCGUCCUUGGUGUGCUUCUCUUGACCCGAGCUGCACCCCCUCACACAUAUGCACUCCACAAACAAACGCUCUGUGUACCUUGGCUCAGCCUGGCCUCGCUCCAGGGAAUCCUUAAGAGAACAGAGCAGCGGAGUGGAUUUCCUCAAAGGUGGGGCAGGCCACCCUGGCGAGGCCUCCUGACCCUAGGGUCACCCUAGCAUGGCAAAGAGCUCACAGUGCAGGGCCAAACCCUGGGGGUGCCAGGAUCCUGGCACGCUGUUCUGAAAAGGAGCCAGCAUUGGCCCUCCUCCCAGCAGGGAAGUGACAGGGACACACAGGGUGUCCCUUACCUGGGGAGGGCAUGCACAGAGCCAGUCCCCACCCCCAGUGGAGCUGGGACUCCUAUUCACCCCCUCUCACCCCAGCAGAAUCCUACCAGUGGGAAUCUCCAAGUCAGUACCAGCCAGAGGCUGGGCAGGGGGGAGGGGAGUACUGAGUCCCUCUCCUGUGCCCAGCCCUGGGCCCCACCCUGUCCUCCAGCUGCCAUUAUUGUCCCCAUUUACAGAUGAUGAGACCAAAGCUCAUGAGAGUGAGAUGGCAUUUGGGAUUGCUAACGGGACAACUUAGUGUCUGGAGAUGGCCUCCGACCUCCACUUUGUACCCUGUGGUGGACUGGUCACUGGUGGUCAACUUGUAACACCAGCUGACCUGAAUCAGGGUGGUGCUGGGCAUGGAUGGCCCACCUGAGGACUAUUGCCAAGAUAAAAAGAUCCGGAGAGGAGUGGGUAGCAUUGGUGGUUCUCCUGCUGCCAUGGGUUUUCCUGAAGAAGCUUGUCAAGCUUCCUUCCUGGUAUGAACUUGGCUGUUCUCAUUGUCAGAGGAGCUCGGACCUUGUUAUUGCUGAGAAUGGCUGUGGUUCACUUUGGGGAGCUCUGGUCCUUACACUGAGCAUCACUUCCUGGCUCUGGAGGGGAAAAUGUUGUGCUGCUAAGUCUCCAGGAGAAGCUUGUCACGCUGGCUUCCUGAUAUGAAUUCAGCUGUUCUCAUCAUCGGAGGAGCUUGAGACCUCACAGCUGAGGAUGGCUGUGGUAAUUUUGGGGGAGCCCUGGUCCUUACUCUGAGCAUUGCUGCCUGCCUCCAGUGCAGAACCCUCAAUCUACUUAGCACAGAUCCUUCAUCCCACUGGCACAGACUUUCUGGUUUCCACCCUGACCUUUGCACCUUCCCAGCAGGGAUCCAUGAAUUAGACGUGCACGAGUCAUUGUCAUGGACUCUAGGUCUUCAUUGGGGCCCUCAGCUAUGUUUCUUUGAAGUCUGUAGUGUGUGGAAAGAUUUCCUGCAGAUUUCAUAUUUGACUCUUUGGGUGAUUAUCAUAAAAUAAUACUAUAAAUUA